UGGAGGGUUUGGCCAUGGCUUUGGAGUUGGCCUUGCUGUGAAGCCUAGUGUGCUGCAUCAGAUACAGUCACAAUUUUUACAAAUGGCAACAGGUGUGAUGGAAAGACUUGGAAUAAAUUCCAGUUCUACCCUGUCUGCUAGCCAAGGGAUUAUUUCCC